AGAGUUUGAUCCUGGCUCAGAUUGAACGCUGGCGGCAUGCCUUACACAUGCAAGUCGAGCGGCAGCGCGGGGGCAACCCUGGCGGCGAGCGGCGAACGGGUGAGUAAUGCAUCGGAACGUGUCCUUUUGUGGGGGAUAACCAGUCGAAAGACUGGCUAAUACCGCAUGAGAUCGCAAGAUGAAAGCAGGGGACCGCAAGGCCUUGCGCGAGAGGAGCGGCCGAUGCCCGAUUAGCUAGUUGGUGAGGUAACGGCUCACCAAGGCGACGAUCGGUAGCUGGUUUGAGAGAACGACCAGCCACACUGGGACUGAGACACGGCCCAGACUCCUACGGGAGGCAGCAGUGGGGAAUUUUGGACAAUGGGGGAAACCCUGAUCCAGCCAUGCCGCGUGUGUGAAGAAGGCCUUCGGGUUGUAAAGCACUUUCGGACGGAACGAAAUCGCACGGGUGAAUAUCCCGUGUGGAUGACGGUACCGUAAGAAGAGC
rnacentral:rRNA from 1 species